rnacentral:rRNA from 1 species
UACAGAGGUCUCAAGCGUUGUUCGGAUUCAUUGGGCGUAAAGGGUGCGCAGGCGGCCUGGCGCGUCGCGAGUGAAAUCUCCUGGCUCAACUGGGAGGGUGGUCGCGAGACGGCUGGGCUUGAGGCUCGGUGAGGGGCGUGGAAUUCCGGGUGGAGCGGUGAAAUGCGUAGAGAUCCGGAGGAACACCGACGGCGUAGGCAGCGCCCUAGACGAGACCUGACGCUCAGGCACGAAAGCGCGGGGAGCGAACAGG